rnacentral:rRNA from 1 species
UGGGGAAUCUUGCGCAAUGGACGAAAGUCUGACGCAGCCACGCCGCGUGAGUGAAGAAGGCCUUCGGGUUGUAAAGCUCUGUCGCCCGGGACGAACAGGCGGUCGGUGAAUAGCCGAUCGUUUUGACGGUACCGGGAGAGGAAGCACCGGCUAACUUCGUGCCAGCAGCCGCGGUAAUACGAGGGGUGCAAGCGUUGCUCGGAAUUAUUGGGCGUAAAGGGUAGGUAGGUGGUCUCAUUUGUCUGGGGUGAAAGCCUCGAGCUUAACUCGAGAAGUGCCCUAGAAACGGUGAGACUGGAGUCCUGGAGAGGGUCGUGGAAUUCCCGGUGUAGCGGUGAAAUGCGUAGAGAUCGGGAGGAACACCAGAGGCGAAGGCGGCGACCUGGACAGGUACUGACACUCAACUACGAAAGCGUGGGGAGCAAACAGGAUUAGAUACCCCUGUAGUCC